rnacentral:rRNA from 1 species
CACUAUGCUCAGCCAUAAACUUUGAUAGACCAUUACAACCCCUAUCCGCCCGGGUACUACGAGCACUAGCUUAAAACCCAAAGGACUUGGCGGUGCUUUAGAUCCACCUAGAGGAGCCUGUUCUAGAACCGAUAAUCCCCGUUUAACCUCACCCUCUCUUGUUCCUUCCCGCCUAUAUACCGCCGUCGUCAGCUUACCCUGUGAAGGGUUAAUAGUAAGCAAAAUCGGCAUAGCCCAAAACGACAGGUCGAGGUGUAGCAAAUGAGAGGGGAAGAAAUGGGCUACAUUUCCUGAACCCAGGACAUACGAACAAUGGACUGAAACGAACAUUUGAAGGAGGAUUUAGCAGUAAGCAGAAACUAGAGUGUUCCGCUGAAACCGGCCCUGAAGCGCGCACACACCGCCCGUCACUCUCCCCGAAAAAUAUCAAGACCACUUACCUAAAAAUCUAUAUCAAUAAAGGGGAGGCAAGUCGUAA